AUUGCGAACAGCCUCCCCCCUGCUCUCUGCAGACAGUGAAGAUUAAAUUCCUGUUUGUAGCCCCAAGCUGAAUAUGCCCAAUCUAAUUGGGUUAAGGUGCACCCCUCCCUGCCUGACCACAUCCACAUUUUCUCUGAUCGACAUGACAGACCACUAUCCCCCCCAACAGCUGAACAAAUCGGGAUAUGGACAUCUUACGAUGACAUCUUUCUAACACUUUUCCCUUUUCUGAAGCACGCCACACAGGACACGGAAUGACCUCAAGCCAUAUUA